rnacentral:lncRNA from 1 species
UGGGGGCCUCUGUGGGUGUGGGGAGGCAUGUGUCUUUGUGUCUAUGUGUAUGAGGUGUAUGUAGGUGUGUGUGGGGGGCAUGCAUCUUUGUGUCUAUGUGUAUGAGACAUAUGUAGGUGUGUAUGUGUGGGCAUGUGUCUUUGUGUUUAUGUGUAUGAGACAUAUGUAGGUGUGUGUGGGGGGCAUGUGUCUUUGUGUCUAUGUGUAUGAGACAUAUGUAGGUGUGUGUGUGGGGCAUGCGUCUUUGUGUCUAUGUGUAUGAGGCGUAUGUAGGUGUGUGUGUGGGGCAUGCGUCUUUGUGUCUAUGUGUAUGAGGCGUAUGUAGGUGUGUGUGGGGGGCCUCUGUGUGUGUGGGGGGGCAUGUGUCUUUGUGUCUAUGUGUAUGAGGCGUAUGUAGGUGUGUGUGGGGGGGCAUGUGUCUUUGUGUCUAUGUGUAUGAGGCAUAUGUAGGUGUGUGUGGGGGGGCCUCUGUAUGUGUGUGGGGGGGCAUGUGUCUUUGUGUCUAUGUGUAUGAUUUGCUGGGCGUCUCAAGUGAGGGGCAGAAGAGUGGAGUAGGAGAGGGAGGGCUCCCCCUUCUUCUAUAUUCAUGGGGAGCUCAUUGUGUCCCUUCAUCUUCCAGGGUAGCAUGGAUAGUAGUUGGUAUCCGGAAAGCCAAAGCUCACAGGCAAAAGGCCUGCACCUUCUCUGUACGGACAGCCUGGGCGUUCUUGGGCUAAUUAGUGAGUGUCUGUGUGUGUGUGGGGGGGGGCAUGUGUCUUUGUGUAUAUGUGUAUGAGGUGUAUGUAGGUAUGGGGGCCUCUGUGUGGGGGGUGGCAUGUGUCUUUGUGUCUAUGUGUAUGAGGCGUAUGUAGGUGUGUGUGGGGGGGCAUGUGUCUUUGUGUCUAUGUGUAUGAGGCGUAUGUAGGUGUGUGUGGGACAUGUGUCUUUGUGUCUAUGUGUAUGAGGCGUAUGUAGGUGUGUGUGGGGGGCAUGUGUCUGUGUCUAUGUGUAUGAGGCAUAUGUAGGUGUGUGUGGGGGGGCCUCUGUAUGUGUGUGGGGGGGCAUGUGUCUUUGUGUCUAUGUGUAUGAGGCGUAUGUAGGUGUGUGUGGGGGGGCCUCUGUAUGUGUGUGGGGGGGCAUGUGUCUUUGUGUCUAUGUGUAUGAGGCGUAUGUAGGUGUGUGUGGGGGGGCAUGUGUCUUUGUGUCUAUGUGUAUGAGGCGUAUGUAGGUGUGUGUGGGACAUGUGUCUUUGUGUCUAUGUGUAUGAGGCGUAUGUAGGUGUGUGUGGGGGGCAUGUGUCUGUGUCUAUGUGUAUGAGGCAUAUGUAGGUGUGUGUGGGGGGCAUGCAUCUUUGUGUCUAUGUGUAUGAGGCAUAUGUAGGUGUGUGUGGGGGGGCCUCUGUAUGUGUGUGGGGGGGCAUGUGUCUUUGUGUCUAUGUGUAUGAGGCAUAUGUAGGUGUGUGUGGGGGGGCCUCUGUAUGUGUGUGGGGGGGCAUGUGUCUUUGUGUCUAUGUGUAUGAGGGGUAUGUAGGUGUGUGUGGGGGGGCAUGUGUCUUUGUGUCUAUGUGUAUGAGGCGUAUGUAGGUGUGUGUGGGACAUGUGUCUUUGUGUCUAUGUGUAUGAGGCGUAUGUAGGUGUGUGUGGGGGGCAUGUGUCUGUGUCUAUGUGUAUGAGGCAUAUGUAGGUGUGUGUGGGGGGCAUGCAUCUUUGUGUCUAUGUGUAUGAGUCGUAUGUAGGUGUGGGGCCUCUGCGCACUGGCGGGAGCAGAGGCCAGAGAAGGAUGCUGGGUAUCUGCUAUCUUUACCUCACUAUAUUUUGUUCAUUUGACAUAGGUUCUUUUACUGACCCUAGUUUGUUUUGUUUGUUUUGUUUUGUUUCAUUGCUAUUCUGGCAGCCAGCAAGCCUCAGAGAUUCUAGUUAGGCUCCUCUCAGUUCUGGGCUUUCAGGUAUGUGUAGCCAUGCCUGACUUCUGAGGUCAGAACUCCGGUCCUCCGGUGCCCUUAGCUGCAGAGCCAUCUGCCUACCCUCAGGCCAAUUAUAUUGUAUACAUUACUGCCUCAGCCUUUUUACUUGUAAACUGGUUUCAAAGAUCAAACAUGGUCAAGGCAGGGAGUUGGCACAGUGCCUAGUUCAUCUGAAGUCCUCAAACCGUCUUGAGUACCAGUCUUUGAAUGGAUUCCUCUCAGUAGCUAAAGUACAAAAUGGAAAUGGGAGAAAUUUG